rnacentral:rRNA from 1 species
CCUACGGGAGGCAGCAGUGGGGAAUAUUGGGCAAUGGGCGCAAGCCUGACCCAGCAACGCCGCGUGAAGGAUGAAGGCUUUCGGGUUGUAAACUUCUUUUAAGAGAGAAGAGCAGAAGACGGUACCUCUUGAAUAAGCCACGGCUAACUACGUGCGAGCAGCCGCGGUAAUACGUAGGUGGCAAGUGUUGUCCGGAUUGACUGGGUGUAAAGGGCGUGCAGCCGGGAAGACAAGUCAGUUGUGAAAUCCCGCGGCUCAACCGCGGAACUACAUUUGACACUGGUAUUCUUGAGUACCGGAGAGGUCAGCGGAAUUCCUGGUGUAGCGGUGAAAUGCGUAGAUAUAAGGAAGAACACCAAUUGCGAAGGCGGAUGACUGGACGGCAACUGACGGUGAGGCGCGAAAGCGUGGGGAGCAAACAGGAUUAGAUACCCGAGUAGUC